rnacentral:rRNA from 1 species
AUUGAACGCUGGCGGCAUGCUUUACACAUGCAAGUCGAACGGUAACAGGCCGCAAGGUGCUGACGAGUGGCGAACGGGUGAGUAAUGCAUCGGAACGUGCCCAGUCGUGGGGGAUAACGCAGCGAAAGCUGCGCUAAUACCGCAUACGAUCUAUGGAUGAAAGCGGGGGACCGUAAGGCCUCGCGCGAUUGGAGCGGCCGAUGUCAGAUUAGGUAGUUGGUGGGGUAAAGGCUCACCAAGCCAACGAUCCGUAGCUGGUCUUAGAGGACGACCGGCCACACUGGGACUGAGACACGGCCCAGACUCCUACGGGAGGCAGCAGUGGGGAAUUUUGGACAAUGGGCGCAAGCCUGAUCCAGCAAUGCCGCGUGCAGGAAGAAGGCCUUCGGGUUGUAAACUGCUUUUGUACGGAACGAAACGGCUCUGGUUAAUACCUGGGGCUAAUGACGGUACCGUAAGAAUAAGCACCGGCUAACUACGUGCCAGCAGCCGCAGUAAUAC